AACGAACGCUGGCGGCAGGCCUAACACAUGCAAGUCGAGCGCGCCCUUCGGGGUGAGCGGCGGACGGGUGAGUAACGCGUGGGAACGUGCCCUUCUCUGCGGAAUAGCCUCGGGAAACUGAUAGUAAUACCGCAUACGCCCUUUGGGGGAAAGAUUUAUCGGAGAAGGAUCGGCCCGCGUUGGAUUAGGUAGUUGGUGGGGUAAUGGCCCACCAAGCCGACGAUCCAUAGCUGGUUUGAGAGGAUGAUCAGCCACACUGGGACUGAGACACGGCCCAGCCUCCUACGGGAGGCAGCAGUGGGGAAUCUUAGACAAUGGGGGCAACCCUGAUCUAGCCAUGCCGCGUGAGUGAUGAAGGCCUUAGGGUUGUAAAGCUCUUUCAGCUGGGCAGAUAAUGACGGUACCAGCAGAAGAAGCCCCGGCUAACUCCGUG
rnacentral:rRNA from 1 species